rnacentral:rRNA from 1 species
ACGGGUAGCCGGCCUGAGAGGGUGACCGGCCACACUGGGACUGAGACACGGCCCAGACUCCUACGGGAGGCAGCAGUGGGGAAUAUUGCACAAUGGGCGCAAGCCUGAUGCAGCGACGCCGCGUGAGGGAUGACGGCCUUCGGGUUGUAAACCUCUUUCAGUAGGGAAGAAGCGAAAGUGACGGUACCUGCAGAAGAAGCACCGGCUAACUACGUGCCAGCAGCCGCGGUAAUACGUAGGGUGCGAGCGUUAUCCGGAAUUAUUGGGCGUAAAGAGCUCGUAGGCGGUUUGUCGCGUCUGUCGUGAAAGUCCGGGGCUUAACCCCCGGAUCUGCGGUGGGUACGGGCAGACUAGAGUGCAGUAGGGGAGACUGGAAUUCCUGGUGUAGCGGUGGAAUGCGCAGAUAUCAGGAGGAACACCGAUGGCGAAGGCAGGUCUCUGGGCUGUAACUGACGCUGAGGAGCGAAAGCAUGGGGAGCGAACAGGAUUAGAUACCCU